UACAGAAGGUGCAAGCGUUGUUCGGAAUUAUUGGGCGUAAAGCGCGUGUAGGCGGCAUUGCAAGUCGGAUGUGAAAUCCCUCGGCUCAACUGAGGAAGUGCAUCCGAAACUGGCAAGCUUGAGUACGAAAGAGGGUCGCGGAAUUCCCGGUGUAGAGGUGAAAUUCGUAGAUAUCGGGAGGAACACCGGUGGCGAAGGCGGCGACCUGGGUCGAUACUGACGCUGAGGUGCGAAAGCGUGGGGAGCAAACAGG
rnacentral:rRNA from 1 species